rnacentral:rRNA from 1 species
UGCCAGCAGUCGCGGUUACACCGAGAAAUUAAGUCAUAUUUUUUAUGGUAAAAAGACAGUUAGACAUAGUCACUUAGGUUUACUUGACUUUCUAUAAAAAGGUAAAAUUUGUAUAUAGUUAUGAAAUCUAAUUUAAAACCGUAAAGUUGAAUCUGUGAUAACCCAGAGGGAAACUGGGAUUAGAUACCCCACUAUUCUUGGAUGUAAAUUAAUUUAAUUUACCCGAGUACUAUGAAUACAUAAAAUUUAAAACUCAAAGGACUUGGCGGUAUUUUAGACCAUUUAGGGGAACCUGUCUCAUAAUCGAUAGUCCACGUUACACCUAACCUUUUUUUGCCUUCAGCUUGUAUAUCGUUGUCGUCAGGUAACUUUUUAGAAAUUAAAAGUUAGCUAAAAAUAAAGUAAGUUUAAACGUCAAAUCAAGGUGCAGUUAAUAAAAAGGUGAGGAUGGGUUACAAUUAUUUAUUUAUAAUUACGGAAAAUCAUAGGAAUUAAUGAUUAUUAAGGAGGACUUAAAAGUAAAUUAGAUUAUAUAAAUAACUUGAAUAAGGCUCUGAAAUGUGCACACAUCGCCCGUCGCUCU